GGGAUCGUCGUCUAAUGGAUAAGGCUUUCGGCUUCUACCCGAAUUAUUGGGGGUUCAAGUCCCUCCGAUCCCG
rnacentral:tRNA from 2 species